UUACAAAGACCGUGAACAUGUCAUCCAUCCCGCACGUGGUUCUACCUGUGCAAGGCCCCCGACCUUUCCGAAGGAGAGGGGCCGCAAAAGAACCCACGGCGCCGAAGGCGUCAAGGAAAACUGAUAUUGCCUUGCUCGGGGCUGUGCUCGGCUUGCCCAGCACACCUCGUGCAGCGAUGCUAUCUUAAUCCACACGACUCUCGGCAACGGAUAUCUCGGCUCUCGCAUCGAUGAACAACGUACCAAAAUGCGAUACCUGGUGUGAAUUGCAGAAUCCCGCGAACCAUCUAGUUUUUGAACGCAAGUUGCGCCCGAGGCCUUCUGGUUGAGGGCACGCCUGCCUGGGCGUCACGCCAAAAGACACUCCCAACCCAAACCUGGGGAAGGACGUGGUGUUUGGCUCCCCGUGCUGCAAGGCGCGGUGGGCCGAAGUUUGGGCUGCCGGCAUAACUUGUCGGGCACCGCACGUGGUGGGCGACAUCUAGUUGUUCUCGGUGCAGUGUCUUGGCAUGCAGCUGGCUUAUUGGCCUCAAGGACCCAUACACGACCGAAGCGUUUAGGCGCUCGGACCGCGACCCCAGGUCAGACGGGACUACCCGCUGAGUUUAAGCAUAUCAAAAGGCGGAGGAA
rnacentral:rRNA from 1 species